rnacentral:rRNA from 1 species
GUAGGGGGCAAGCGUUGUCCGGAAUCAUUGGGCGUAAAGCGCGUGUAGGCGGCCAGAAAAGUCCGCUGUGAAAACUCGAGGCUCAACUUCGAGCUGUCGGUGGAAACUUUCUGGCUAGAGUCCGGAAGAGGAGAAUGGAAUUCCUGGUGUAGCGGUGAAAUGCGCAGAUAUCAGGAAGAACACCCGUGGCGAAGGCGGUUCUCUGGGACGGUACUGACGCUGAGACGCGAAAGCGUGGGGAGCGGACAGGAUUAGAUACCCUGGUAGUCCACGCCGUAAACGAUGGGUGCUAGGUGUGGGGGGUGUCGACUCCCUCCGUGCCGAAGCUAACGCAUUAAGCACCCCGCCUGGGGAGUACGGCCGCAAGGCUA